rnacentral:rRNA from 1 species
CACCUCUAGCAUUACCAGUAUUAGAGGCACCGCCUGCCCGGUGACAUGUGUUUAACGGCCGCGGUACCCUGACCGUGCAAAGGUAGCAUAAUCACUUGUUCUUUAAAUGAGGACUUGUAUGAAUGGCUCCACGAGGGUUCAACUGUCUCUUACUUUUAACCAGUGAAAUUGACCUGCCCGUGAAGAGGCGGGCAUAACAUAACAAGACGAGAAGACCCUAUGGAGCUUCAAUCUACCAGUGCAAAUAACAUAUAACAAGCCCACAGGCCCUAAUUCACCAAACCUGCACUGAAGAUUUCGGUUGGGGCGACCUCGGAGUAUAACCCAACCUCCGAGAAACACAUGUUAAGACUUCACAAGUCAAAACAAACUUCCACACACAAUUGAUCCAAUAACUUGACCAACGGAACAAGUUACCCUAGGGAUAACAGCGCAAUCCUGUUCUAGAGUCCAUAUCAACGACAGGGUUUACGACCUCGAUGUUGGAUCAGGACAUCCCAAUGGUGCAGCCGCUAUUAAAGGUUCGUUUGUUCAACGAUUAAAGUCCU